UGGAUGUGAGAAGGCCGAUUUGGACAGGG
rnacentral:piRNA from 1 species